GCACUGCUGAGGAGUCCCAAAAUAAUAGGACGAAACGGCCGUCCAGUGC
rnacentral:hammerhead_ribozyme from 1 species